CAGACCAAUGGUCUGACUCAGUAUAUGGCAGUUUCCUAUGUUCCUAUAUGUACAAAAACAGGGGCAACAAAUUUGGGUUCCAAAAAUGGAAUGUGCACUGGUUACUAUUCAUUCCAUUCAUUCAGUAUGAAUUUUAGGGAUGUGCAAAAUCUUUUGAGCUUAAAAUUUUUUUGAAGCUGUUUGAGUGUUUUGAGUUUGAAACAAAACACCCUUAGAAUAAGAGUGCUGUGGAUCAUCCUUGUCUGGAUCCCCCCCUUUCUUGUAGCCAGCCCCCAGUGACUUUAAUAACCGGAGUGCUGUGCUGAUUUUCUCUCUCUUUUGCAGCCCCCACCCACACCAUCUUUGCUGCUGCUGUGUGCCUUUUUCUUUUUUGAUUUUUUGGGUGGGUGAUGCCCACCUGCUUGGCACCCAUCCACUCUAACCUGAGCUGUUGAGUCCCACUGUUCUUGGCCCAAUUGCCUCUGAGAGCAGCACCUGGCUGGACUCCAGCAGAAGAUGCCAGAAAUAGAAAGUGAGCACCUCAAACUUGGUCAGGUUAGAUUUCCUUAAAUAGGGCCUGGUUUGGGGAAGGGAUUAGGUACUAGCCAGUACAAAGGACUGUAGGACAGGAAGGGUGUGUUAGGAGACAGGCCACAGUAUUCCCCUUUCACUUCACUAUCCUUAGACUUACCUCAUUGUUGCUUACUCCCUUCCAAGAAAGCCCCCUCUAACCCUAACCCACACAAAAGUAAAGCCUGCUUCUUUACUUGGGGGGAUUCUCUAGCUUUAGUGUAUGCACUACAGUGCUAUAGAUAGAACUGUGUGUGGCACACACAUCAUAAAUAUAAAUAGACCACCCCUGAUUCCAUACACCUUUUUAAAAUACCCACCUUAAAGGCACUUCUUCUUCCCACUUUCGUCAGAGAGGGCUUGAAUUUUAAAAACCCCAAGAUAUCUGGGAGGCUGAAAGGCAUAGCAGGGGCAGAUUGGCUGGCAGAGAGAGGGUGAUGCUGGUUGUGGUGGGUGAUAGAAAGAGGGGCUUACUCCCCGAGUCAUCCCCACUGAUGUGGUUGUGUGCAGGCUCUCAGCCCCUCUCAGCCUCUGACCGAGGGCGGUGGCAGCGGUGGCCUCAGAAGGAACCAGCAACUUACUUCCACCAGAGCAAAAAGGGUAGUCGGAUGCUCAAGGAGAAGCAGCUUGAGCUCGGCCUACCUGAACAACCGAUCCCUCAGGAUAUUCCAACACAGUGGAACUCCACUUUUCUCUUGCACCAGUGCAUGCAGGAGCAAGAGCCAGCCAGCCACGGCCUGGUAAGGAGGCAUAGCUUGGAAGUGUGCGACCUAUCCAACCACGACUGGGCACACAUUUCCAAGGUUAUCUUGACUCUUGAGCCAUUCUUUGUUGUUAUUAAUGGCUUGUGUGCCAAGAUAGCAAUGCCCAUCGGGCUUUGCCCAGCACUCUUCUCCUUGAGAAGGUGAUGGGUGAGUUCUAGUCCAUGCUGACCACUGAGGAAGCAAUCGUCUUGGCAGGUUGGCUGAGGACUGGCAUGGUGGAUUGGCUGACGAUACCCUUGGGUGCAUCAGCAGUGCAUGUUUUGUCCUCCCUAUGUGACCCAAGAAUGAAGGGUAAAGCUGACACCCCUGCCCAGCUGCCCAGGUGGAGGGGCCUCCUGUUUGAAUAAGUCAGGCAAGCUGAGGGGCAGAGUCUGGGGUGCAACCAGGAGGAGGGUGGUGGAGUGCCUAAUUCUAGUGCACAGUCCAUCCCUAGCUGCAGUACUGCCACUGCCACUUCCUAGUCCAGCAGCAUAGUCUCCCUGGCAAGGCCAAGGGAGCCAGUAGUUCUGCCUUAGCAUUCCACCCAGUGAUUCCCAGAGUGCUACCUUGGCACCUUGCCAGGGGGACAGGAGGAGCCCAUUGAGCCCUGCAGCAGUGAUGAUCAGCGUGUUCUGCAAUACCUCCAGGAGCUGGUGGCAGGCUAGGAAAUUGAGCUGAUCCAGGUUUAGGCAAUGCAUCACCAAGUCUGGUUGGACUUGGUGAUGGUUGCUGGAUGGUUCCUCUCAUGCCCGCCAAGCAGCAUCCAGAGUGAGUAGUUGUUCUCCAUGGCCAGGGAUGUGGUGACACCCCAUCGCUCAUGCUUGGACACUGACUUGGUGGAGCAGUUGGUCUUCCUGAAGGCCAACCUCCCCCUGCUGGGCUUUCCAGAGCUGGCCAUGGAGGGUGAGUGACUCAUGGUCACCCCCACCUGCAACACCACUGGCAGCUUGCCCCACCCUGGCCAACCCCCAAACCAGAUGUGUCACAGUCUGCCCAUUAGUGCUGCUGACACACACAGACAUGUAACCAUGCCACCACCAUGGCCAAUGAUGAGAUGAUGGACUGGUGCCCUGACUUGUGUGUCAGGCUGUCAGCUGGGGCCCAGCACGAAUCUGAGGCCAUGGUGAUAUUCAGACAACAGCAGUGUCAUGGCGCAGUCAUACAGUGGAGAAAAGGAGAAGAAAGAAGAGUUCUUCUCAUGGUAAAAGUCUGCUUUUUGUUUCUUCUUGUCAGACCAUUUCCACAUCUUGCUCAGUAUUAUCCACAGUAUUAUCUGCCCUCCUGUCUCUCUGUGGCAGGCAGGAUGUAAGUAAGGACAGUUUGAUUUUGUGGUUUUCAUUUCUCAACACUGAGUAUAAUAUGCUGCACUAUUGCUGCUGGUUUUGUUGGAUCUCAGACUGACAGAGGCAGAACUUGGGUGCUUGCCUGCCUUCCUUGAGUUGUGAUUUGGUUUGUUUGUGAGAUAGUAUUGUAAAAAGAAAUUGCUGUGAUGAUCUCCAUGUAUGGCCUUGAGACUAACUUGUGCUUCACUCACAAGGAGGGAAUUUCAAAAUGUAUUCAAAGGGACAGGAAGGCAGAGGGUGCCCUUAUACUGUGUCUCUUUUGAAGAAGAGGAUACAUCAGGAGAAGAGGAAGGAAGGAGCUGUUUGUGAUUGUUCAUCUGGUAUUAGGAUUGUCCAUCACUUUCAUCAGCCUCAUCCGUGACGCCAAAACUGGAGGCAAGAUCAAGUAUGCCCUUUGUAUUCCAGGACAGCAGUGAAGUAGCCAUUGAUGGCAAUAGGGAAAUCUCCAUAUCCCCAUGGGUGGAUGACUGGAGGCUGCAGGUGCAGAUCUGAUGCAUUUCCCCACUGGUACAAACAUCCAAAGAACAAAAUACAAAAGACUAAACACACAUUUAGCCUCUGUUUGAGAAAACAAACAGAUUUGUGCUUGACUGAAGAAUCUGAAGCAUUGUGAGAAAGGCAGGUUUUUAAUCUUGCUAAAUUGAAUUAAUAAUGUGGAAUGGUUUGCAUAAGAAACUUGUAGGGGAGGAAUGGAAGUUCAGUCCCCAAGUAGCAAAGCAAAACCAGUUUGGUGAGAAAGCAGCAAAGCAAGAGGUCUUGAGACAGUUCUUUAGUAUUGAAGAACUACAAGGAUUUAUUUAAAGAAAAGGUUACAAACAAACAUGAAAAGCCUGCAGCUUAAUUUCAGCGGUAGCUCAUGUCUGAAGAGAGAGAGACCAAAACAAACAGCCAUCUCUGGAGAGACAAAAUGGAGACUAAGACUGGAAGAACAAAGAGGGGAGGAGUCAAACACUUUUAUCCACAAACCUAAAAAACCGCAGUAGUCACUAUGAGACAUUACAGCUAAGAGCUGGUGCUGCCAGGGUCCUAGCUCCAACAAAACCCUCAUUGCUUAAUAGGUUUGCCAAGCAGCCAUUAUUUUAUUGGCCUGAAAAAUAGAAGUGCAUUAUGGUAGCUAACCAGUAUUGGUAUUUGAAGUUCCAGGAUAUGUGAAGAGCUAGCUUCGCUGAGUUUCUGUUAUUUAUAUCACUGCUGGACUCAGCAGAUUAAUUGUGAUCCCAAUAGAGUCCACCUAAAAGAGGCAACCUUUAUGCAUCAAUAAUAUUCAAGACUUGAACAUGAAAGAACAUCCUUGGCAGGGUCCUGUACUUUGACAUGCUGCAUUAUAAAGGACAAGGGAAAUUCAACAAGUAGAGCAUAAAGAAGUUCUAUUAGGAAAGAAGUAGCAACCUUAUCAAGCCACCAAUCCAGUUCAUAGGUGCAUUCAAAUGGAAACAGGUGACAACUGAAAACAGCAGAAAGCAUCUAUAAAAGUAGAGAAUGUGUGAAAAAUGGUGUUUUGCUCCUUUAGUUUCUUCUCUUCUUUCUAUGUCACGGGGGAAAAAAAAAUCCAAGUAUAAACAUUACUUGGCUUUGUGGCGAGGUGUUAGCCUGCCAACUUAAGGUUAAAAUCAAAGAUGGGCUCCUAAGUGCCCAGUGUUCUGGAGUUACAGUAUUAUAUUUCUGAGCCAGUAGUAGUUAAGGGCCAAUUACCAGUUCCACUAUAAAACCUUUUUUUGAAGGUUUUGUAUCUCAACUGUUUCCAUCUUAUUGGAGCUUGGUAUGCAAAUGGCAUGGAGACAAGCUUUUUAAAUAGACCAAAAUGAGGUAGGCCCUUUUUAGACACAGAUCAGCCUGAAGCUGCCUUCCAGUGAGAGGCUAGAAUCCUGAUUCUUCUUUGACCUGACUGAGCCUGAACAUGAGUCUGCCUGCAAUCAUCAUUCUAAAGUCCCUUGGGGUCAUUUCCAGUCCAUUCUUAGUGGUGGUGGGCACUUCUGAGUAAGCCUAACAAUGGACUGGAAAUGACCAAAAGGAGUCUCAUUCAUUUCUGUAGGAUUUAAUUCCACGUGAAUAAGCUUAGGUUUGCUGCCCUAUAUAUCUCUGUGGGAUAUACAAGGAAAGCACUGUUCUUUAUUAUUUAUUUUAAAAGUAUCUGCUCCUCUGCUUCUUCCCCCCACCCCCAACCAGGGAAGCAAUCAGACCAGGCAGCAGCAGACAAGGUGGUCCAGCUCAUCUGCACUACAAAUUGCCCACUCACUUCACCUGGUGCUGAAAAGCCAUAAAAGGGCUAUACAGGCUGCUCUAGUAGUGUAGGAGUUCAGUACAAAAAAUAUGUCAUUUCCAGCUACUAGUUACAUAUUUCAGACCAAAGUUUUACGAACCUUGAAUUAAGUUUGAACACAUGCAGGAGACACUAGCCCUGGCAUUCAAAAUCAGAGUCGGUGAACAAGAGUACAGAGCCCGAAAACAGUUCCAGAAAUCUCACCCCCAGUGCUGUCACACCCUCCUCUCGGGCUCCUCACACUUAGGGGAGUAUUCACCCCAGUUUACAGGAUCAGCAGGCUGAGGCAUCCCUGCCUGUGGAUCAUGGAAGAGGGCAUGAACACGCUUAGGUGGUCACGUUCUUCAGAUGAAUGCCAUGAAACAUGAAGAACCCAGCAGGAGAAUGAUUGACAACAGUGGGGGCAGGAUUUCUGGACCUGUUUGUGGGCUCUGUCUUUGCAUUCACCCACACUGAUUUUGAAUGCCUGAAGAGGACUAGUGUCUUCUGAGUAUGUACCAACAUAGAUUCAUAACUUAGAAGACAUAGAGUCAAUUCUCAGUCACCAUGGGUGGGCUGGGAGAUAACCUACCUUCCCCCCAGAUGACCAAACCAUCCAUUGUUGGCAUACCUCCCACACACACCCAUGGGUAGCCCUGCUCUGUGUGGCUCAGUGAGGCAUGGAGCAGAGUGGAGGUACCAGGGCUGAAACUUGUCAUUCCGGCCUCUGGAUAUCCCACAGUGCAAUGUGUGACACAUGAUUCCACCAUCAGACAGACAUUCUAUGCACCCAUAUCUGUGUCUCCUUGGGCUGAACUCAGCCCGAGGAGACACAUGAUACCUGGUAGCUGGGAUAAGAGUGUAAGCACACCCUUAGCCUCAGCUAACAGCCAGGUUACUAAACAGGGUAGCGGAGGGAUCCACAAGGAUCCUUCUGUUUCUCAUGGGCUGCCCCAGGCUGGGUCAGGCUGCUCGUGAGAACAGCCUCACAGAGUCAGGAAAGAUGGAGUUGGGAAGUAGUAGGUGAGCUUUUUCCAGGAGGAGGAGGAGGAGGAGGAAGAAGAAGAGGAGGCAGUGAGCAGAGUCUACAAAUGAAAUCAUUGACCAUGAAAAAUGACAAAGCCUGUCAAGCCUGUGGAGCAGAGGUGAAAGUACAAGCAUAUAGAUUAUCAUGAGCAGCAAUUCCUUUCUCAUACUGCCUUCUGCUGCUUUUAGAAAUGUAUAGUCAGUCACCCAUGGUGACUCGAGCAUUACAGGUAUCUUUUGGGAGCCAAUAGUGCUGAAUGUUCAGCCCUGUCCUCAGACUUGGGGCAGGAAAAGGGACAGCUUUGAUUGGCUGGGAGGUGACAGGGAGGUGGAGCCAAGCUCAGCUUGUAAACAGCAUCCCUCUCACCCACUUUGGUGCGCUUGGCUAAAAAAUAUAAGCAAGAGGCCCAGUAGGGGCCUUAACCCUAGCUAGGACCCAUGGUGCUGGCAGAAUGGGGCACCAAUCCCCAUGCUUGCAUGUGUUUUGCCAAUUCAAUGCAGUUGUGGCCCUUUUCUUUCAUUUUCCCACCACCUUUCUUUUUUGGGUGUGGAGGCAAUAGCCUGAACAAGACAGCAUAUAAAUUAAAUUAAGAUUGGUUUGGGGGGGGGGGCAUGGAUUGAUCUGCCAGUGCUGAUGAAUAUUUCCAGACUUCCUAAACAUGUCUUUUGGGUUCCCAGUUAUGGGAAAUACUUUGGUUUAAUAUCACAUGUGUUGUUCUCAAUUCCAGCACAUCUCCAAUUUUUUCAAAUUAUAUUUAUAAUUUGUAAGGAAAUAACAGAACCCAAGAUUAGGCAGGGAUAAAAAAAAAUAGGCAUAAAUAAAUUAACUGGCAUAGGCAGGGAUCAGGAAAUGCUUGCACCUGCUCUACUAACUUUUUAUGCCUCCUUAGGAAGGUUCUCCUUCUCCCUUUGGGAAGCCUGGCACUCAUCUAAUUAAGGCUGGGAAUCAUUGACUUGAAAGUGAAGUUCUGGUCCAUUCCAGAUACUUUGCUGCUUGUUGAUAUUGGGUGAGAAAAGACUGAGCAGCUACUGGGAGACAGCCAACUUUUUUGCACAAUGAAUGCACUCACUGUAAAAAUGGUAGAUCUUAUUAUCAAAUCUUAGCAGUUCCAGAAAUCUCAUUGGAAUUGCUUUAGAUUUCCACCAUGGUGGUUAAAAGCAGAAUCUGCCUCUUUAAUUGCUUAUGACCUUUUUAUCUGAGGCGAGGACCCAAAAAAGUUGUUUUUAAAAAAAUCCUUUCUUCAUGCCUUGUUGUCGAAACUUUAGUUGAAAAGGCAUCAUUAUGAACAGGUCCAUAUUUUCGAGAGUGGGGGGGACUCACCCGACUGAUCCCAGUUAAGGGCCUUAACAGAGAGACAGCUUUUGAAUUUGGCAAAUCUUCUUGCUUGGCUGAGUUUGAAUUGUAUGUUACUGUAGUAAAAUUUCACAAAUAGGGCUGUCCCCCCCACUCCCCCCAUUUUCCCUUUGUAUAAAUGGCUCCUUCCCAGAAUAGCAACACAAUUUAGCAAUAUUUUGUAUCGAGACAAUUACAUUGUAGAAUUAUUGUAGUCUUAGUACCUCAUUAAAAUUUUAAAAAAAGUUAAAUCCUUGUUUUGUUGAACACAAGAGAUGAAUAGUAAAUAUUGAUUUAGAAUGAAU